GGCAGAAAGUCUUUCAUUUGAAAAAAAUCUCAUAAGAGAAAAUGGCUGCAGGUCCCCCGAAAGAAGCAUUCUUUUAAAAAUGUAUCCCUGUUCUUUGUGCAGUCCUUGAAGGAAACGAUAGCAAAACAGUCCUAAAUUCAUCUCUAUUGCAAGAGGCUCAUCUUUGUUUAAAAGGUAAGAUCAUUCUCCUCGUGAUCUAUAUCCCCCCAUUUGAUCAGACACCAAACGACCCACAGUUUUCAUUCCCGCUACUCCAAGUAGAGAGUGAAUUCUGUUCCCACCUAUAGUAAACUCAAAAAUAAGUGUUAUGUCAGCCAGCUUGAAAAAGAAAAAUCCAAAGAUGUGCAGGACAUUUGAAAAAUUUCUCUGUUCAGCUUGUUGCAUCAACUCAUGCCUCCCACAUUUUUGCAGCAAGGAACAGGAACGGAGGCAAAAGAAUCACACAGAACAAUUGCCUCGCCAUGUUUACCAGACUGUGCCUCCAGCAGAACAGUCGUCGGUGUACAAGCUACAAGGAGAAAUGGCAGAGCAAUUGCUCUAUGUAAAAAGCAGGAAGAACGGAGAACUACAUAACGCCUGAAGGAGAGAAGUGACGGGGAUCAAAAAGCAAAAACCACCAGUGAGGUAAGCCCCAUUAAUGCUAUAGUUGAUAAUCCCAUGUUUUAGAAAGCUCACGGGGCAGUCACAGCUUUUACCUUUGUGCUUUGCUGUUGCCUGCUGGGGACUAGAAGAGUGGGCCUGAGGGGUGUUUCCAGCAGAAUUCCUGUUCUACCACAGCUUUGCCCUGCACCAUCAUUUCACAUCUUGAACGCUGGCAUUAGAGUUGAGCCUCUGAGACCCUCCCCGAGGGCUGCUGACCCAGACAGAGGGUAGUUUGGCAACGUAGGGGCACCAGCUAGAUGUGGCUCAGAAACAGCAAGGCCAGUGGAGUCUGCAGCAGGAGGCUGGGGGCAGGAGCCUGGGACCAACGGCAGGCCCAUGUCACUUACGUAGCAAGGCCAUUCUGGCUUUCUCUGCCCAUUUUCUCCUUGACACUAAAGAAAGAGGUUUCCAAGUUCCCAAAGCAGCAGCAGUGAGCCAGCCAGCUGUCAUUUCAGCACAGGGGGAUGUGGAUUAGCACUCAAGUAGAGCCUGCUGAAGGUCUCACCUGGGGAAAAAAAGAUGCAGACUGCCCCAAGCUGGAGAAGAGUUGCUGUCUAGGAAGUUACAGAAGGACUGUUGGUCCUGGUUUAACAAAGCAGUAGUGUCAUAUAACACACCCACCUCUUUCCUGUCUUAAAACAGAAGAUAGAAUGUAUUAAGAGUUUUACUUUCCCGUGGUUCACAAAGUAUUCCAAUGUUGGUAUUUGCUGUAAUUUGAUGUUUUUGAUUAUUUUAGCUCUGCCGCCGCCCCCCACCCCCGCAACACACACUCAUGUGACUAUUAGGAAUACUGCUGCUUUCAUUUUCUAAUCUUAUGUGGUGGGGGGAAAAAAAUCAUUAGAACAUUUCCCCCCCUCAUUCCAUCUCUACUAUUGUCAGGAAGCCAUACAUUGGAAAUUUCCCAGCAGCAGUGGAGAAAGAAAAUAUGAUGAACUUAGUCUUCUAGUGUGUUUAAGGGUAUGUUUAAGCAUGUCUAGACACCAUACAGGCAUACUUAUGCGUGAUGAUGAAAACAGGCAUUGGAAUGUCAACACCACCUCUGCACAAAGCCCACUUUGUCUGUGACCUUUUCUAAGAAGAAAGGUGGUAAGAAAUGUCUGGUAACCUUGAAACCUAAACUGUGAGUUCACUUUUUCCUUCCCACUGUUUUCUUAGUAAAGGGAAAAACUGGUGGUUUGUAAUAAACUCUCAUUGCCAUUGUACAAUUGAUCAAGUGAUCAAACUGUCAGAGGAGAGUGUUCACUGACAGUACUUUUUUCUGUGGGUAUGUUCUACACACAGGAUAUUGUAUUAGAGAUGCUUUAUUGAAAUUGCAAAAAUAGGCAAAGUAUUGUAGCCUAAAAAUAAAUUACCACACAUACAGUAUAUAUAUAUAUAUAUUUAAAAUAAAAUUUUUCUUUGUUUUCAGUCAAGGAUUUUGUGAACUAAACUUGUUUAUAGUUUAAUAUAGAAAAAAAAUCACUGCCCAAACUUAGAAAAAUAUAUUUCAAAUGCCUAAUUUCAGGGAAGAUUUAAAAGUGAUUUGGAUGUAUUGUAUAAAGUGUCUGGUUUUAUAGUGUGAUACUCUAGGGAUGUACUGUAGCAUUAGAAGAAAGGCAGAACUCUUUAUACCGUAACUAUACUUUAACAAGUAGUCAUACACCGAUCUGGAAUGAGAACGCUGGAUUAGAACUUUGGUAAAGUUUUAGUUCUUAAGAGACAGAAUGUCAGACCACUCCAAUCUGUUAGCUAGUGUCAUUUUCAGAUAAGAAGACAUCGUUCUGCAGGAAACGGCAUGCACAGUGAGGACUUUGAAAGCUGAUAGUGUCAUGUGAUGACAACUCUAAAACAAGAUCUACACUGGGCUGUUACACUGUCCUCAAAUUUUACGAAGUAAAAUGCAAAAAUAAUUGAAUCAUAUGACAUUGGUCGAGUUCACCAACCUCACUCCAAGGGAAAUAAACUCCGUGUUUCAGUGCUGCCCAUUGACAGUCCUCUUCCUCUGUUUGGACUGCUAAGAUCUUUGCGUAUUUUAAGAACAUCCAGGUUAUAACUCCAUAAGUGAAGAAAAACAAUUGACCACCAGGGUUAUGUCUGUUCACACAGCUGUUAUUUUGCGCAAGAAAAAGAAAGCUAGGUUUUAUGCGGCUGCAUUUUCGGUCUUUCAGCCCUAAGAAGGAAGGCCGAGAGGGUGACUUUGCAGAGUAAAGAACGGCAGCAGAGCCAAUGGCACAGAGACAGACAGACAGGUGCAGAUUGUCCAGGGGAAGGUGGCAGGCUUAAAUAAUGGAGACAGCCUCUCCUGGGCGGCAGCCAUCGGUUGUGUUUUGUGGAGCAAGAUGACAAAUUCAAUUUAAAAAAGAAAAAGAAGCAAAAGCAAAAGACCUUUCUUUAGGUCUCUCAUCAAUGUGAGCAUACCCAGUAUGCUAGAAAAUUUAUCUGAAACCUUUUCAAUCAAGGCCUCUUCAUUAAAAAAAAAA